AUGAAAUUGAAGAAAAUGAAAAGAGAAGGCUAAGGAGUGAAGGAAGAUAUCAUCUCAACCUUUUUGUUGUACAGUUUGACUCGGAGAGGUAAAGUCAGGAUAGAAGAUCUCUCAUCUCAUCACAUCUUCAAGAGCUUCAGAAGUAGGUACCAUAUUUUGAAUUAAAAUGGCAUGUACAUAGACAGUCAGUUAUGCUUCCAUGUGUUAGGAAUUAAAAUGUAAACUCUUGGACUUCUAUCUAUUUUUAGGUAUUUUACGUAUUUUGGUAUAUAUAUAUAUGAAAUGAAUUAGUAAAACUAUAUGUAUGUUUGCAAAUAUGGUUGGUAAGUUAUAAUGCUAUGUAUAAAUAUUCUAUUUAAAUAA